GUUUGCCAGGCUAUUUUUAACAUUGAAGUCUGGAAGGAAAAUGAUGUCACAUGCUGGGAAAGGGGUCCAGAUAUUUCAACAGACCACAGCCAAAGAAUUCUGUUUUUUAUUUGUUUCUCUCAGAAUUGAAUCAUUUGAAAAAGCUGCUCCUCAUGGAGGUGCUCAGGCAGUGGGCCACAAAUGUUUCCCAAAUGAAAUACAAGUGCCCUGCCUCUCUACUCAGCUUCACAAAUACGGAGCUCCCACUGCGCACUAGGUGAUGAGGAGAGCAGGAAGAAACAGGACGCCUGUCUGAGGUUGCCUCAAAUGCUGCUGACUGUCUCUCUUGCCCAGGGAAGAGAUUCUGGAAGAAGAGAGGAGAAAAUAUAAAAAUCCUGAUCAAUUAGAACCCAAUCUAUGGAAAUAUGAACACCUUGCAGGUGGAUAAAAGCUGGAGAUUUGUUAAUAAAAACAGCUUUCCGGGUGGGUCUUCUGGGAUUCCGGAUGUCAGCUUCGUAUUUGAAGCUUCUGCAUCUUUUGUGUAAAACUUUCAGCAACAAUCACAUGAAACUGCGGGAUGGUUCACUCCACCAACUUACUGAGGCUGGGAGGCAGUCAGGCAAAAAAGACUUUCAAAUGCAGGCUUGUGAGUUUUGGUAUUAAAAAAUACUUCAUUGAGGCAUAUUUUACAUAUCAUAUAACUCAUCCAUUUCAGGUGUACAAUUCAAUGAUUUCUUUAAGUAAAUUUACCAAGUUGUAUAACCAUCACCAUAAAUCACUUUUAUAACAUUUCCAUCACCCUAGUAAGAACUCUCAUGCACAUUUAUUGUUAAUCCCCAUUCUUCUCUCCCUGUACCCCAGGCAACCAUUAAUCUACUUUGUAGAUUUGCCUUUUUCUGGACAUUUCAAAUAAAUGGAGUCAUACAAUAUGCAGUGUCUUGUGUGUGGCUUUUUUCACCUAGCAAAAUGUUCUUGAGGUCCAUCCACGUCUCAUCAUGUAUUAGUAGUCUAUUUCCUUUCAUUGCUGAAUAAUAUUCCAUUGUAUUGUCAUACCAUAUUUUUUCACCCAUUUACCAGUUGUUGCACAUUUUAAUUGUUUCCAAUUUUGGUUUUUUAUGAAAAAUGCUGCUAUGACAAUCCCUGUGCAAGUCUUUGUAUGGGAGAAAGACUCAAAAUUUGUAAUAAAAAGUUCUGUCCCAAUUCUCAGUUAUCCAGAAUGCUACAUCUGCUCAAGAAAAGGUUUUGUCUG
rnacentral:lncRNA from 1 species